rnacentral:ncRNA from 2 species
AUUUCAUAGAGAAUACAUUCUUGUAUAUCAUUAGAAAUAAGGUCUAAUAGUUUCUACCGGGUUGCCGUAAACUACCCGACUACAAGAAUAAUUUAGUUAUGU